GACGAACGCUGGCGGCGUGCUUAACACAUGCAAGUCGAACGAUGAAGCCCAGCUUGCUGGGUGGAAGAGUGGCGAACGGGUGAGUAACACGUGAGUAACCUGCCUAUCACUCUGGGAUAAGCGCUGGAAACGGCGCCUAAUACUGGAUACGACCUAUCACCGCAUGGUGUGGGUGGAAAGAUUUAUCGGUGGUAGAUGGACUCGCGGCCUAUCAGCUUGUUGGUGAGGUAAUGGCUCACCAAGGCGACGACGGGUAGCCGGCCUGAGAGGGUGACCGGCCACACUGGGACUGAGACACGGCCCAGACUCCCACGGGAGGCAGCAGUGGGGAAUAUUGCACAAUGGGCGCAAGCCUGAUGCAGCAACGCCGCGUGAGGGACGACGGCCUUCGGGUUGUAAACCUCUUUUAGUAGGGAAGAAGCGAAAGUGACGGUACCUGCAGAAAAAGCACCGGCUAACUACGUGCCAGCAGCCGCAGUAA
rnacentral:rRNA from 1 species